AGGCUUUUGAGUUGUUCCGAAAG
rnacentral:snRNA from 1 species